UACAGAGGUCUCAAGCGUUGUUCGGAUUCAUUGGGCGUAAAGGGUGCGUAGGCGGCGUGGUAAGUCGGAUGUGAAAUCUCGGAGCUUAACUCCGAAACUGCAUUCGAUACUGCCGUGCUUGAGGACUGGAGAGGAGACUGGAAUUUACGGUGUAGCGGUGAAAUGCGUAGAUAUCGUAAGGAACACCGGUGGCGAAGGCGGCAUCCUGGACCAUAACUGACACUGAUAAGCGAAAGCCAGGGGAGCAAACGGG
rnacentral:rRNA from 1 species